AUACGUAGGUGGCAAGCGUUGUCCGGAUUUACUGGGUGUAAAGGGCGCGUAGGCGGGACUGCAAGUCAGAUGUGAAAUCUGGGGGCUUAACCCUCAAACUGCAUUUGAAACUGUAGUUCUUGAGUAUCGGAGAGGCAGGCGGAAUUCCUAGUGUAGCGGUGAAAUGCGUAGAUAUUAGGAGGAACACCAGUGGCGAAGGCGGCCUGCUGGACGACAACUGACGCUGAGGCGCGAAAGCGUGGGGAGC
rnacentral:rRNA from 1 species